UGGUUAUUAAUAAAAGGGGAAACACCUGUUCCCAUUCCGAAUACAGAAGUUAAGUCCUUUUACCUCGACAAUAGUUGUUGUUUACAUCCGCAAAGAUAGAGUUAGCCAAGGU
rnacentral:rRNA from 1 species